AUUGAACGCUGGCGGCAGGCUUAACACAUGCAAGUCGAGCGGGGAAGAGUAGCUUGCUACUUUACCUAGCGGCGGACGGGUGAGUAAUGCUUAGGAAUCUGCCUAUUAGUGGGGGACAACAUCUCGAAAGGGAUGCUAAUACCGCAUACGUCCUACGGGAGAAAGCAGGGGACCUUCGGGCCUUGCGCUAAUAGAUGAGCCUAAGUCGGAUUAGCUAGUUGGUGGGGUAAAGGCCUACUAAGGCGACGAUCUGUAGCGGGUCUGAGAGGAUGAUCCGCCACACUGGGACUGAGACACGGCCCAGACUCCUGCGGGAGGCAGCAGUGGGGAAUAUUGGACAAUGGGGGAACCCUGAUCCAGCCAUGCCGCGUGUGUGAAGAAGGCCUUUUGGUUGUAAAGCACUUUAAGCGAGGAGGAGGCUACCGAGAUUAAUACUCUUGGAUAGUGGACGUUACUCGCAGAAUAAGCACCGGCUAACUCUGUGCCAGCCGCCGCCGUAA
rnacentral:rRNA from 1 species